UUGAUUAAUUCCUUCAUGUUCUAUUUUUCUUAAAAUAUUUUACUACUGCAAUUAGCUUUCAAGCAUAUUAAGGUCUCAAGUAUUUCGAUUUCUUAUUGAUAGGUGUUUCGUAUAUUUGAUCAGCCAUCCUGAUUUUUCUGUUUUAAAUGUUGCAUACCUCUAUGUCGAUUUCAGUUUUGUAAUACUAAAUUUCUAUUCUAAUAUGAUAUUUGAAUGUUUGUGAUAGUAUCUCUCUAUAAAUCUUUGAACUCGAGUGAUUUCUUUAUAUAUCGAUGACUUGAAUUAAUAUAUUUAGUAUAUGUUAAUAUUUCACCUCAGC
rnacentral:lncRNA from 1 species